rnacentral:rRNA from 1 species
AUACGGAGGGUGCAAGCGUUAUUCUGAAUCACUGGGCGUAAAGGGUGCGUAGGCGGUUUGAUAAGUCUGAUGUGAAAUCCUAUGGCUCAACCAUAGAACUGCAUUGGAAACUGUCAGACUAGAAUACUGAAGGGGCAGAUGGAAUUAGUGGUGUAGGGGUAAAAUCCGUAGAUAUCACUAGGAAUACCGAAAGCGAAAGCGAUCUGCUGGGAAGUUAUUGACGCUGAGGCACGAAAGCGUGGGGAGCAAACGGGAUUAGAUACCCUAGUAGUCC